AGAGGGCAAGGUGCAAUAGAGUGUCCUGGUUGCAAGGUUUUAAUAAUGAGUUACAUCAUUUCUUGAUUGCUUUCAUUGUUUUUAUGACUUUCUUAAAAUUUGAAUUUACACAGGGAACUGGGAAGAACAAGAAGAAUGGGAAUAUUUUUGAAAGAUGGAAGUGUUUUGAGUGUCAGGGAUUUGGGAUGAAGAGUUGCCCAAAUUGUGGAAAAGGAGGACUUACACCUGAGCAAAGAGGGGAAAGAUGAUCAGUAUGAUUUGUUUUUUGUUUGAUAUGAAAAGGAAAGAUAGUGAUGUGGAAGGCAUAGAUGCGUUUGAGCUUUGUUUUGUAAGUCUAUAUAAAUCAGAAGACAACUAAUUAAAAUGAUAAAUGAAAUUGAGUUGAAGUUUCUUGUUCUUA